rnacentral:lncRNA from 1 species
GUUCGAGGCGCCUACAGGAGUGGGUGAAGGGGAGGGCCGGGAGAUGUAGCUGGUCCCUCCCCACCCACCUGUGUCCCUUCUCUUUGGGGAUAAAGCCCUGGAUCCCCAUCAUAGCCCAGGCCCUGAGCCCUGCCACCCUGCUCUCUCCCCCUCACCCACUCCCCCAAGAAAUCAUGAUGACAACAGUGACAACUCCAGUCAUAGCAGGCAGGGCAAGAAGAUGAGGCUGUCUUCAAAAGGCAGCUUCGCCGACAGAGCAGGGUUCAACCAUCAUGCCUAUUACUGACUUCCAGCAAAUCCAAUAACCUCUCUAUGCCCGUUUCCUCCCCUGUACAACGGGGACGAUCGGGACAGCGAGCUGC